GGAAGAAAACCCUGCCCUCAAAAAAGACACAACUAAUGUUUGCCAGACAACAUCUUGGUAAUGAUCAAAACUGCUGGAACAAUGUGCUCUGAACAGGGAUUUCAUGUGCCAGUGACCCCAGUGACCCCAGUGACCUCAGUGACCUCAGUGACCUCAGUGAGAAUUAGCCCAUUGUCCCACCAGCUUUGGGAGAAAGAAAAAAGAAACGCUAGCCAAUAGAGAAUCCAAUGGAGAAUUGCUUAUGUGGUCGAUUCUGGAAAACAAACAACAUCCUGGUCCUCGUCUAUGGCUAUUAUUUGUCACCAAGGUCAACCUUCCUGACCUUCCCGACCUUCCCGACCUUCCCUCAACUCCCAAAACUGUGUUCAACUUAGUGUUCAGCAUUGAACCAAAAUAAAUUCCUAAUGGUCGAUUGUAAAGUAUAAUGAACAAUGAACAAAAAAUUGGGAAUUAAAUAUGUAAUA